CAAAGUUAUAACACUUGGGGAAAGGACUCGUCCUUUCGGGACUUGAGGCCUGACUCCAUUUGUAACACAACUUUCAACCACUUGUGACAUGUAAUAAUUAUCUCACCAAUUGACUGUUAACGAAGUCUGAUUCAAAUUGUAUUGGUGUUAUAGACACUAGUAAAAUAUGAAA
rnacentral:misc_RNA from 1 species